UACGUAGGGUGCAAGCGUUGUCCGGAAUUAUUGGGCGUAAAGAGCGUGUAGGCGGCCAGGUAGGUCCGCUGUGAAAGUCCGAGGCUCAACCUCGGAAUGUCGGCGGAAACCCUCUGGCUAGAGUCCGGAAGAGGAGAGUGGAAUUCCUGGUGUAGCGGUGAAAUGCGCAGAUAUCAGGAGGAACACCGGUGGCGAAGGCGGGUCUCUGGGCCGAUACUGACACUGAGGCACGAAGGCCAGGGGAGCAAACGGG
rnacentral:rRNA from 1 species